rnacentral:rRNA from 1 species
UUUGAUCCUGGCUCAGGACGAACGCUGGCGGCGUGCCUAAUACAUGCAAGUCGAGCGAGCGGAACCAACAGAUUUACUUCGGUAAUGACGUUGGGAAAGCGAGCGGCGGAUGGGUGAGUAACACGUGGGGAACCUGCCCCUAAGUCUGGGAUACCAUUUGGAAACAGGUGCUAAUACCGGAUAAUAAAGCAGAUCGCAUGAUCAGCUUUUGAAAGGCGGCGUAAGCUGUCGCUAAGGGAUGGCCCCGCGGUGCAUUAGCUAGUUGGUAAGGUAACGGCUUACCAAGGCGACGAUGCAUAGCCGAGUUGAGAGACUGAUCGGCCACAUUGGGACUGAGACACGGCCCAAACUCCUACGGGAGGCAGCAGUAGGGAAUCUUCCACAAUGGACGCAAGUCUGAUGGAGCAACGCCGCGUGAGUGAAGAAGGUUUUCGGAUCGUAAAGCUCUGUUGUUGGUGAAGAAGGAUAGAGGUAGUAACUGGCCUUUAUUUGACGGUAAUCAACCAGAAAGUCACGGCUAACUACGUGCCAGCAGCCGCGGUAAUACGUAGGUGGCAAGCGUUGUCCGGAUUUAUUGGGCGUAAAGCGAGCGCAGGCGGAAAAAUAAGUCUAAUGUGAAAGCCCUCGGCUUAACCGAGGAACUGCAUCGGAAACUGUUUUUCUUGAGUGAAGAAGAGGAGAGUGGAACUCCAUGUGUAGCGGUGAAAUGCGUAAA